rnacentral:lncRNA from 1 species
UUUUUUUUUUGUUUUUUUUUUUUUUUGUCUUUUUAGGGCUGCAUCCUCAGCAUAUGGAGGAUCCCAGGCCAGGGGGCCAAUCAUAGCUACAGCUUCUGGCCUACGCCACAGCUGCAGCAACAAGGGAUCCAAGCCACAUCUGCAACCUACACCACAGCUCAUGGCAAUGCCGGAUCCCCAGCCCACUGAGUAAGGCCAGGGAUCAAACCCGCAACCUCAUGGUUCCUAGUCAGAUUUGUUUCGGCUGCGCCACGAAGGGAACUUCACUCUUUUUAUUAUAAAAUCCGCUUUUGAAGGUUCUUCUCAUCUCUGUAAUACUAAUGAUUUAUGUCUCAUUAUUGCGUACAUUUCAAAGCUUCUUAUAUAAACAUGUGAGGAAAUCCUGUUUGACUUUGCAUUUGAUGCUUAAUUGAAGGUUAUAUUUGAUUUAAUUCACAAAAUUUUUUUUGUAGUUAAUAAGCACAGUGUCAGAGUUAUCGGUCAUUUAAAAGUAUAUGAGUAGAGACAAUUUACAGCUAAAUUAUAAAGUCAUUACUAAAUUUUGGGGACACUUUUUAACUUAAUCAGGGCAAGAAGUAAAUUUAGCGAGUAAAAUGGUGACAUUUGAAAAUGAAAUAGUUAAUGUUCCAAGGCAGUUGGGAUGGCAAACACGUCUUGUUAGUUUUUUAUUUAAUAAAAAUGGUUCCAUUUAAAAAUCUGAAAAUUUUAUAUUAUGAAGUACUGUCACAGGCACAGUAAAGAGACAAGUGCUAUGCAGAGAUUAAUACAAAAUGUCACAGUCCUUUCCCUCACGGGGGUAACAGUCUAAAGAAGAUAGAGUGCUUUUUAUCAAAGGGUUCCAAAUGAGUGAACAGUUUAAUUUUCACAGUUCUUUUUUUUUCUCCCUUAUAUUUGCAGUCUUUUAUAAUUGAUAUGGUCAGAUAUAUUUUUAAAUUAAUGUACAUUUUAAUUUAUGCUUUUUUCAUGAUCAGCUCAGUUCUAACUUGUAUUAAUUUUUCAAUUUUCCAUGUUUAGAAGGAAAAGGGAAAAAAAGUCCUUGCUAGAUGUAGUAAUUUUACCCAGAAAUAAGGAAGUGUAUUCUUAUCCUUUAUUUAAAAAAAAAAUCUUAAAUUCUUGAGGAUUGUUUUGUUUAUUUGUUUUUUUCCUCAGGUAGUUGUUUACCUAUGGGAAAAAAAUACCUUGUGCUCAGGACACCUAUUUAUUUUUAUUGUGGACACCUUCUGGGGGCAAGUAUUACAUAGAGAAUAUUGAUUUCUCCCUGACUUAAUACCCAGACUUUUGCCAAAGUAAUACUGAAGCAGAAAUUGGAAAAGUUAAGCCUUUGAUUAUUUUAAAAUAUUGUCAAGGGGGUAAAACUGUUAAUGGCAAAGGAAGCAAGUGUUCCUGCCCAAGGCUACUCUAAAUGUAAAUCUGAAGAGUGUAGCUUUCAAGUGAUUGUGGGAGAGAAAAUUGCAGAGAUGCUACUAGUUUUAUUAAACUGGGGGAUGAUAUUUUCUGAUAAUUCUAAAAAGAGACUUGGGAGUUUCCAUCAUGGCUCAGUGGAAAUGAAUCUGACCAGUAUCCGUGAGGACAUAGGUUUGAUUCCUGGCCUCGCUCAGUGGGUUAAGGAUCUGGUGUUGCCAUGUGCUGUGGUGUAGAAUGUAGACAUGGCUUGGAUCUGGUGUUGCUGUGGCUGUAGCUACAGCUCCAAUUCGACACCUAGCCUGGGAACUUCCAUAUGCCAUGGGUGUGGCCCUAAAAAUGAAUAAAUAAAUACAUAAAUAAAUACAUAAUCACACUUUUAAGAGAGGAAUCUGGGAAAACCAUACAUCCAUUAUGAAUCAUCCCUUUCUCUCAUCCUACAAAAAUAUUAAGCAUGUAUAUAUGAUCUCUGUAUUUUGAAAGGAGAAUGCUGAACAAAUUUUAGAACAUGUUUCUUUUCUACUAGCUAUUUGAGGAUAAUCCAUCUGGUGAGAUAUCUAUUGAAACCUAGAAGCAAGAUAUAAGUAUCAAAGGCAGAAAUAAACCAUACAAAGAUAAUUAGAUCAUGGCGAAAUGGAGGCUUCUUGAUUGAUUUGAUUUUAUGAUAUCAGAUAGGGUGCACAUUAUUCAAGUAUCUACAUAUGGCAAUUAUGCAGAAUUGGAAUGAGGUCAAAGUCGAUGUUAAAAAAACUUAGGAGGCUGUUUCAUAGUCAAAGUGACAGAUGAUGUUCAAUUGAACUGACUGUUACAAAGUGAUUGAAAAGCUGAUUGUAUAGAGACAUUGAGAGGGUUUCUUAGUUAGGGAUCUCCAGAGAAUCAUCUCUCUCUCUCUGUUGAUUUAUUAUCAGGAAUUGGAUUCACACAAUUAUGGAGGCUACAAGCCUCAAGAUCUGUGGAAUGAGUUGGAGAGCUGGAGACCCUCAGGAGAAUUGAUGGUUUAGUUCUGGUAUGAGUCUGAAGAACAGAUAAUCAAGAGAGCUGAUGAUGUAAUUCCAGGUUGAAGGCUGGCAGUCUGGAUGUCUAGAAAGAGUUUCUGUUAGCAUCUGAAGGCAGAGAAAAAAACUUAUGUCCUAGUUCAAAGGCCAUCAGGCAAGCAGAAUUCUCUCUUAUUGGUGGGAGGAUCGCCCAUUUUGUUCUAUUGAGACCUUCACCUGAUUUGAUGAAGCCCACCCACACUAGAGAGGGCAAUCUGCUUUAGUCUUUUUGCUGAUUUAAAUGUUAAUCCCAUCCAAAACAUUCUCACAGAAAUACCCAGAUAAUGUUUGAUCAAAUAUAUGGGCACCUUGUGGUCCAGUUAAAUUGACACAUAAAAAUAACCAAGGUUAAAUUUGGAUUUUAGUAGACUUGGAAGUGAAUUAGACAUGGGGAAU